CAGAUAACAAUGAAGACACUCACCCUUAUCAUCGUUUCCCUAACUUUGGUGUUAGAGAGCUACGCAGAUGUUGCCAGCCUCAUUAGCCCCUCUCUUUUCGAUCAAAUGCUGAAAUAUCGAAACGAUGGGCGCUGCAAGGGCAACGGGUUCUACAAGUAUGAUGCUUUUGUUUCUGCUGCUCGAUCUUUCAAUGGGUUUGGCACAACAGGUGAUGUUGCUACCCAGAAAAAAAGAGCUCGCUGCUUUCUUGGGUCAAACCUCUCACGAAACCACUGGAGGAUGGCCAAGUGCACCAGAUGGUCCUUAUGCUUGGGGAUAUUGCUUUAUCAAGGAACUCAACGAAGCCGUGUACUGCACUCCAUCAGCUCAAUAUCCAUGCGCUGCCGGCAAAAAAUAUUACGGCCGAGGACCAAUCCAACUCACUCACAACUACAACUAUGGUCCAGCGGGUAAGGCAAUCGGAGUGGAUCUGAUAAACAAUCCGGAUCUAGUAGCCACAAACCCGGUUAUAUCAUUCAAGACAGCAAUAUGGUUCUGGAUGACUCCUCAGGGAAACAAACCAUCAAGCCACGACGUCAUUACCGGACGUUGGAAUCCAUCUGCGGCAGAUAGAUCGGCGGGUAGGGUACCUGGAUAUGGAGUGAUUACAAACAUCAUCAAUGGCGGACUUGAAUGUGGGCGUGGACAAGAUAAUAGGGUUGCUGAUCGGAUAGGAUUCUACAAGAGGUACUGUGGCAUGUUGGGAGUGGGCACUGGGGACAACUUGGACUGUUACAAUCAAAGACCAUUUUAGGGAAAAUGAGAACUGAUUAAUAACAGUUUAGUCUUGCCAAAUAAGGUCUAUGUAAGAAUAAGGGAAUCAUUGAUCGGUUCCAAUAAAUAAUAUGGAUACGAAUGUACUUCCCAGUUACAAAAAGAAGUACUUGUUUCUGUAAACUACUUCACUUGCAACUUAUACUGAAAUACUCGAAUA